rnacentral:rRNA from 1 species
AGCGAACGCUGGCGGCAGGCCUAACACAUGCAAGUCGAACGAACUCUUCGGAGUUAGUGGCGGACGGGUGAGUAACACGUGGGAACGUGCCUUUAGGUUCGGAAUAACUCAGGGAAACUUGUGCUAAUACCGAAUGUGCCCUUCGGGGGAAAGAUUUAUCGCCUUUAGAGCGGCCCGCGUCUGAUUAGCUAGUUGGUGAGGUAAAGGCUCACCAAGGCGACGAUCAGUAGCUGGUCUGAGAGGAUGAUCAGCCACAUUGGGACUGAGACACGGCCCAAACUCCUACGGGAGGCAGCAGUGGGGAAUCUUGCGCAAUGGGCGAAAGCCUGACGCAGCCAUGCCGCGUGAAUGAUGAAGGUCUUAGGAUUGUAAAAUUCUUUCACCAGGGACGAUAAUGACGGUACCCGGAGAAGAAGCCCCGGCUAACUUCGUG